UUAAAAUUAUACUUACUGCUUAUAUAUUUAAUAGUAUUUUUAAAAUUUUUAGUCAAACUUCAAGAUAUCUCCAAACAAAAUGUUUAGAUUUAUUAACUGCAUGGAAUAUGAUUGAGUCUAUAUCAGAAAUGUCAAAAAUAGAAAAAAUUUUGAAAAUGUUCACGAUAAAGCUUAUUUAUUUUCAAGAAAUAAAUAGACAACUAUCAAAUUUACACCUUCUCGGAAAUAUAAUUGUUGAAGGACAACUACCAACAUCUAGAGUAUGUAGGGGAAAAUGUAUACAAUGAAGUAUGUGAAGACCAAGUUCUAACUAAUCUAAAGGAAAAAUUCAAAGUAGAAAGAAUAGGAAGAAACAUAUUAUAAAAUAUUAAUCGAUCAAAUAUUAAGUAGUCUAAAUCAAAUGUUUUCAAAUAAUAGGAAUUUAAUAGCUGUCCAAAGAAUUUUAAUCUUGUUGAAAAUAUGCCAGAUGAUGCUUUAACAUAUUUAGUUGACCUAAUUAAUAUUAAAAAGAAUAUUUAAAAAUUGAGUUACAAAAUUUUACUAAAAUUUAUCAUAAUUUGACAUCAUUUGUGGAAAAAACUAACUAUAUAUUCUAACACAGUACAAAACAUAUUACCAACAGUAAGAAGUCUAGUGGUGAAUCGCCAACAGAAGAGUCAGAAGAUAGUGAUGGAGAAAAAAAGG